CUAGUUCAGCCCGACCCCCCGGGGCUGAACUCAGACGGCCCCCGCCUCCUCCCCCCAUUGGCGGGGGUCGUCCUCUG
rnacentral:ncRNA from 1 species